GGGGAAUAUUGGGCAAUGGGCGAAAGCCUGACCCAGCAACGCCGCGUGAAGGAAGAAGGUCUUCGGAUUGUAAACUUCUUUUAUGAGGGACGAAGGAAGUGACGGUACCUCAUGAAUAAGCCACGGCUAACUACGUGCCAGCAGCCGCGGUAAUACGUAGGUGGCAAGCGUUGUCCGGAUUUACUGGGUGUAAAGGGCGCGUAGGCGGGAUGGCAAGUCAGAUGUGAAAUCCAUGGGCUCAACCCAUGAACUGCAUUUGAAACUGUCGUUCUUGAGUAUCGGAGAGGCAAGCGGAAUUCCUAGUGUAGCGGUGAAAUGCGUAGAUAUUAGGAGGAACACCAGUGGCGAAGGCGGCUUGCUGGACGACAACUGACGCUGAGGCGCGAAAGCGUGGGGAGCAAAC
rnacentral:rRNA from 1 species